AAUAGACAAAAUCUUUUUUAAAAAAAAAAGAAAAAAAAGAACAGAAGACAAGGCAAUGGGAAGAACAUGGUGAGCGAAGAGAUGAAGUGGAACUGAAAUGGUACGCUGUGGGAUUCUGGCAAGAGACGCAGCCAGUGGACAAGAAAUGCUACACCGAGCUCUGAGAGAGGUCAAUGGCGCAGAAGGUCAGGACUGGCCAGAUGGUGAGAACUGAAGUCACAGAAGCUGAUGAUAUCAGGAGAAAGUGUGAAGAAAGGAAGAUCCUAAGUCAAGGACGUGUACAUUGCUGAAUGGGGACAGGGACCAUCCUAGAAGUACCAGAAAAGGGAGACUCAACUGUCCUUCAACCAUAGAAGCAGGACAUGUCAUCACCCAAAUGAAAGAAAUUCAUGCCCACGAUGAGUAACAUUCCAAUUAAAAUUCAUCACUAACAGCAGGCUUUUUAUCUUUCUUGGACAACGUGAAUCAUUUUUGGUGCUGGGAAAUGUGUUUCAUAAACCUCCAUUGUCAUAGAAUGUCUACUUC